CUGCGGGACCGGGCCCCUCUGGCGUCAUGAUCAAACUGAUCUGGCGCGAUGUCGGACCGCAUCG
rfam:Paracoccus sp. SM22M-07 scaffold09, whole genome shotgun sequence.